rnacentral:tRNA from 1 species
GCCGAGAUGGCGGAGCGGUCAAACGCAAAGGUCUGUAAAACCUUCGCUCGUAAGGGCUACGUAGGUUCGAAUCCUGCUCUCGGCACCA